UACGUAGGGUGCAAGCGUUGUCCGGAAUUAUUGGGCGUAAAGAGCUCGUAGGUGGUUUGUCGCGUUGUUCGUGAAAACUCACAGCUCAACUGUGGGCGUGCGGGCGAUACGGGCAGACUAGAGUACUGCAGGGGAGGCUGGAAUUCCUGGUGUAGCGGUGGAAUGCGCAGAUAUCAGGAGGAACACCGGUGGCGAAGGCGGGUCUCUGGGCAGUAACUGACGCUGAGGAGCGAAAGCGUGGGGAGCGAACAGG
rnacentral:rRNA from 1 species